rnacentral:rRNA from 1 species
AGCAGUCGCCACGGGAAUACGAAGGGGGCUAGCGUUGCUCGGAAUGACUGGGCGUAAAGGGCGCGUAGGCGGAUUGUUUAGUUAGGCGUGAAAUUCCUGGGCUUAACCUGGGAACUGCAUUUGUGACUGGCGAGCUAGAGUAUGGCAGAGGGGGGUAGAAUUCCACGUGUAGCAGUGAAAUGCGUAGAGAUGUGGAGGAAUACCGAUGGCGAAGGCAGCCCCCUGGGCCAAUACUGACGCUCAUGCACGAAAGCGUGGGGAGCAAACAGGAUUAGAUACCCCCGUAGUCCCUGUCUCUUAUAC